rnacentral:rRNA from 1 species
GGGUUGUGAGGUUAAGCGACUAAGCGUACACGGUGGAUGCCCUGGCAGUCAGAGGCGAUGAAGGACGUGCUAAUCUGCGAUAAGCGUCGGUAAGGUGAUAUGAACCGUUAUAACCGGCGAUUUCCGAAUGGGGAAACCCAGUGUGUUUCGACACACUAUCAUUAACUGAAUCCAUAGGUUAAUGAGGCGAACCGGGGGAACUGAAACAUCUAAGUACCCCGAGGAAAAGAAAUCAACCGAGAUUCCCCCAGUAGCGGCGAGCGAACGGGGAGCAGCCCAGAGCCUGAAUCAGUGUGUGUGUUAGUGGAAGCGUCUGGAAAGGCGCGCGAUACAGGGUGACAGCCCCGUACACAAAAAUGCACAUGCUGUGAGCUCGAUGAGUAGGGCGGGACACGUGGUAUCCUGUCUGAAUAUGGGGGGACCAUCCUCCAAGGCUAAAUACUCCUGACUGACCGAUAGUGAACCAGUACCGUGAGGGAAAGGCGAAAAGAACCCCGGCGAGGGGAGUGAAAAAGAACCUGAAACCGUGUACGUACAAGCAGUGGGAGCACGCUUAGGCGUGUGACUGCGUACCUUUUGUAUAAUGGGUCAGCGACUUAUAUUCUGUAGCAAGGUUAACCGAAUAGGGAGCCGAAGGAAACCGAGUCUUAACUGGGCGUUAAGUUGCAGGGUAUAGACCCGAAACCCGGUGAUCUAGCCAUGGGCAGGUUGAAGGUUGGGUAACACUAACUGGAGGACCGAACCGACUAAUGUUGAAAAAUUAGCGGAUGACUUGUGGCUGGGGGUGAAAGGCCAAUCAAACCGGGAGAUAGCUGGUUCUCCCCGAAAGCUAUUUAGGUAGCGCCUCGUGAAUUCAUCUCCGGGGGUAGAGCACUGUUUCGGCAAGGGGGUCAUCCCGACUUACCAACCCGAUGCAAACUGCGAAUACCGGAGAAUGUUAUCACGGGAGACACACGGCGGGUGCUAACGUCCGUCGUGAAGAGGGAAACAACCCAGACCGCCAGCUAAGGUCCCAAAGUCAUGGUUAAGUGGGAAACGAUGUGGGAAGGCCCAGACAGCCGGAUGUUGGCUUAGAAGCAGCCAUCAUUUAAAGAAAGCGUAAUAGCUCACUGGUCGAGUCGGCCUGCGCGGAAGAUGUAACGGGCUAAACCAUGCACCGAAGCUGCGGCAGCGACGCUUAUGCGUUGUUGGGUAGGGGAGCGUUCUGUAAGCCUGCGAAGGUGUGCUGUGAGGCAUGCUGGAGGUAUCAGAAGUGCGAAUGCUGACAUAAGUAACGAUAAAGCGGGUGAAAAGCCCGCUCGCCGGAAGACCAAGGGUUCCUGUCCAACGUUAAUCGGGGCAGGGUGAGUCGACCCCUAAGGCGAGGCCGAAAGGCGUAGUCGAUGGGAAACAGGUUAAUAUUCCUGUACUUGGUGUUACUGCGAAGGGGGGACGGAGAAGGCUAUGUUGGCCGGGCGACGGUUGUCCCGGUUUAAGCGUGUAGGCUGGUUUUCCAGGCAAAUCCGGAAAAUCAAGGCUGAGGCGUGAUGACGAGGCACUACGGUGCUGAAGCAACAAAUGCCCUGCUUCCAGGAAAAGCCUCUAAGCAUCAGGUAACAUCAAAUCGUACCCCAAACCGACACAGGUGGUCAGGUAGAGAAUACCAAGGCGCUUGAGAGAACUCGGGUGAAGGAACUAGGCAAAAUGGUGCCGUAACUUCGGGAGAAGGCACGCUGAUAUGUAGGUGAGGUCCCUCGCGGAUGGAGCUGAAAUCAGUCGAAGAUACCAGCUGGCUGCAACUGUUUAUUAAAAACACAGCACUGUGCAAACACGAAAGUGGACGUAUACGGUGUGACGCCUGCCCGGUGCCGGAAGGUUAAUUGAUGGGGUUAGCGCAAGCGAAGCUCUUGAUCGAAGCCCCGGUAAACGGCGGCCGUAACUAUAACGGUCCUAAGGUAGCGAAAUUCCUUGUCGGGUAAGUUCCGACCUGCACGAAUGGCGUAAUGAUGGCCAGGCUGUCUCCACCCGAGACUCAGUGAAAUUGAACUCGCUGUGAAGAUGCAGUGUACCCGCGGCAAGACGGAAAGACCCCGUGAACCUUUACUAUAGCUUGACACUGAACAUUGAGCCUUGAUGUGUAGGAUAGGUGGGAGGCUUUGAAGUGUGGACGCCAGUCUGCAUGGAGCCGACCUUGAAAUACCACCCUUUAAUGUUUGAUGUUCUAACGUUGACCCGUAAUCCGGGUUGCGGACAGUGUCUGGUGGGUAGUUUGACUGGGGCGGUCUCCUCCUAAAGAGUAACGGAGGAGCACGAAGGUUGGCUAAUCCUGGUCGGACAUCAGGAGGUUAGUGCAAUGGCAUAAGCCAGCUUGACUGCGAGCGUGACGGCGCGAGCAGGUGCGAAAGCAGGUCAUAGUGAUCCGGUGGUUCUGAAUGGAAGGGCCAUCGCUCAACGGAUAAAAGGUACUCCGGGGAUAACAGGCUGAUACCGCCCAAGAGUUCAUAUCGACGGCGGUGUUUGGCACCUCGAUGUCGGCUCAUCACAUCCUGGGGCUGAAGUAGGUCCCAAGGGUAUGGCUGUUCGCCAUUUAAAGUGGUACGCGAGCUGGGUUUAGAACGUCGUGAGACAGUUCGGUCCCUAUCUGCCGUGGGCGCUGGAGAACUGAGGGGGGCUGCUCCUAGUACGAGAGGACCGGAGUGGACGCAUCACUGGUGUUCGGGUUGUCAUGCCAAUGGCACUGCCCGGUAGCUAAAUGCGGAAGAGAUAAGUGCUGAAAGCAUCUAAGCACGAAACUUGCCCCGAGAUGAGUUCUCCCUGACUCCUUGAGAGUCCUGAAGGAACGUUGAAGACGACGACGUUGAUAGGCCGGGUGUGUAAGCGCAGCGAUGCGUUGAGCUAACCGGUACUAAUGAACCGUGAGGCUUAACCUUACAACGCCGAAGCUGUU